GUCGACGAUGAAGCCCUUCGGGGUGGAUUAGUGGCGAACGGGUGAGUAACACGUGGGUAAUCUGCCCUGUACUUUGGGAUAAGCCCUGGAAACGGGGUCUAAUACCGGAUAUGACUGCGCAUCGCAUGGUGUGUGGUGGAAAGCUCCGGCGGUAUGGGAUGAACCCGCGGCCUAUCAGCUUGUUGGUGGGGUAAAAGCCUACCAAGGCGACGACGGGUAGCCGGCCUGAGAGGGCGACCGGCCACACUGGGACUGAGACACGGCCCAGACUCCUACGGGAGGCAGCAGUGGGGAAUAUUGCACAAUGGGCGCAAGCCUGAUGCAGCGACGCCGCGUGAGGGAUGACGGCCUUCGGGUUGUAAACCUCUUUCGACAGGGACGAAGGGCAACUGACGGUACCUGUAGAAGAAGCACCGGCUAACUACGUGCCAGCAGCCGCGGUAAUACGUAGGGUGCGAGCGUUGUCCGGAAUUAUUGGGCGUAAAGAGCUCGUAGGCGGUUUGUCGCGUCGGCCGUGAAAACUGGAGGCUUAACCUUCAGCUUGCGGUCGAUACGGGCAGACUUGAGUUCGGUAGGGGAGACUGGAAUUCCUGGUGUAGCGGUGAAAUGCGCAGAUAUCAGGAGGAACACCGGUGGCG
rnacentral:rRNA from 1 species